UAGUGAGUUUGAUCCUGGCUCAGGGUGAACGCUGGCGGCGUGCCUAAGACAUGCAAGUCGAACGCAGUAGCUUGCUACUGAGUGGCGCACGGGUGAGUAACACGUAACUGACCUACCCCGUAGUCCCGCACAACGGUCCGAAAGGACCGCUAAUUCGGGAUGUGAACCCGCACCGUGGUGCGUGUUUAAAGAUUCAUCGCUAUGGGAUGGGGGUUGCGGCGCAUCAGCUCGUUGGUGAGGUAAAGGCUCACCAAGGCCACGAUCAGUAGCUGGUCUGAGAGGACGACCAGCCACACUGGAACUGAGACACGGUCCAGACUCCGUACGGGAGGCAGCAGUGGGGAAUCUUCCACAAUGGACGAAAGUCUGA
rnacentral:rRNA from 1 species